CCUACGGGUGGCAGCAGUAGGGAAUUUUCGGCAAUGGGGGGAACCCUGACCGAGCAACGCCGCGUGAACGAAGAAGUUAUUCGUAAUGUAAAGUUCUUUUAACAGGGAAGAAAGAGAAAUUUGACGGUACCUGAAGAAUAAGCUCCGGCUAACUACGUGCCAGCAGCCGCGGUAAUACGUAGGGAGCGAGCGUUAGCCGGAAUUAUUGGGCGAAAGGGGUGCGUAGAUGGGAUAGUAAGUCUUUUGUAAAAAUGCUGGGCUCAACCCAGUAGGGCAAAAGAUACUGCAAAGCUAGAGUAUGACAGAGGCAAGUGGAACUACAUGUGUAGCGGUGAAAUGCGUAGAUAUAUGUAAGAACCCCAGUGGCGAAGGCGGCUUGCUGGGUCGAUACUGACAUUGAGGCACGAAAGCGUGGGGAGCAAACAGGAUUAGAUACCCGAGUAGUC
rnacentral:rRNA from 1 species